rnacentral:rRNA from 1 species
CUACGGGCGGCUGCAGUGGGGAAUAUUGCACAAUGGAGGAAACUCUGAUGCAGCAACGCCGCGUGGAGGAUGACACUUUUCGGAGCGUAAACUCCUUUUAUAUAGGAAGAAGAUGACGGUACUAUAUGAAUAAGCGCCGGCUAACUCCGUGCCAGCAGCCGCGGUAAUACGGAGGGCGCAAGCGUUACUCGGAAUCACUGGGCGUAAAGAGCGUGUAGGCGGAUUAAAAAGUCAGAAGUGAAAUCCUAUAGCUUAACUAUAGAACUGCUUCUGAAACUCUUAAUCUAGAAUAUGGGAGAGGUAGAUGGAAUUUCUGGUGUAGGGGUAAUAUCCGUAGAGAUCAGAAGGAGUACCGAUUGCGAAGGCGAUCUACUAGAACAUUAUUGACGCUGAGACGCGAAAGCGUGGGGAGCAAACAGGAUUAGAUACCCUAGUAGUC